rnacentral:rRNA from 1 species
AGAGUUUGAUUCUGGCUCAGAACGAACGCUGGCGGCGUGGAUAAGACAUGCAAGUCGAACGCUAAUACAAAGGUAGCAAUAUCGUUGUGUUGGAGUGGCGAAAGGGUGAUUAACACGUGGGCAAGUUACCGCGAGAUCUGGGAUAACCUGCUGAAAGGCAGGCUAAUACUGGAUGACACCUUGGAUCGGCAUCGAUUCAAGUUUAAAGCUGGGGACCCGCAAGGGCCUGGCGACUCGCGAUACGCCCGCGUCCUAUCAGCUAGUUGGCGGGGUAAAAGCCCACCAAGGCUAAGACGGGUAGCUGGUCUAAGAGGACGACCAGCCACACUGGAACUGAGACACGGUCCAGACACCUACGGGUGGCAGCAGUCGAGAAUUUUUCACAAUGGGCGAAAGCCUGAUGGAGCGACGCCGCGUGGGGGAUGAAUGGCUUCGGCCCGUAAACCCCUGUCAUUUGCGACUAAACUCUGGAAUUGAACAGAUUCCAGACUGAAAGUAGCGAAAGAGGAAGGGACGGCUAACUCUGUGCCAGCAGCCGCGGUAAUACAGAGGUCCCAAGCGUUGUUCGGAUUUACUGGGCGUAAAGGGUGCGUAGGUGGUAGGGUAAGUUCAAUGUGAAAGCUUCGGGCUCAACCCGAAAAUUGCAUCGAAUACUAUCCUGCUGGAGGGUCGGAAGGGAGACUGGAAUUCUCGGUGUAGCAGUGAAAUGCGUAGAUAUCGAGAGGAACACCUGUGGCGAAGGCGAGUCUCUGGACGAUUCCUGACACUGAGGCACGAAAGCUAGGGGAGCAAACGGGAUUAGAUACCCCGGUAGUCCUAGCUGUAAACGGUGCGCACUUGCUGUAAGAGGAUUCGAACCCUUUUGUGGCGAAGUUAACACGUUAAGUGCGCCGCCUGGGGAGUACGGUCGCAAGACUAAAACUCAAAGAAAUUGACGGGGGCCUGCACAAGCAGUGGGAAGUAUCGUGACUGGGAAACAGAUCGGAAGAGCGUCGUGUAGGGAAA